UACGUAGGGGGCUAGCGUUGUCCGGAAUCAUUGGGCGUAAAGAGCGUGUAGGCGGUCCGGUAAGUCCGCUGUGAAAGUCGGGGGCUCAACCCUCGAAUGCCGGUGGAUACUGUCGGGCUAGAGUGCGGAAGAGGCGAGUGGAAUUCCUGGUGUAGCGGUGAAAUGCGCAGAUAUCAGGAGGAACACCAAUUGCGAAGGCAGCUUGCUACACUACUAUUGACACUGAGGCACGAAAGCGUGGGGAUCAAACAGG
rnacentral:rRNA from 1 species